GAUAGUUAUCCAUCAAAGAAGAAGGGGGUGGCCACAGGAGAAACUGACCGUUGCAGUUCUGGGCAGUUAGGAAUCCUUCUGCUCGGACUGUAACUAGCUCUCCGUCUCUUCCAGAAGCUAUCUGCAAGAGUUUCCUUUGGCAUUCUGCUGCUGUGUAGCAGCCAUUACCCCGCCAGGUCAGAGAACACAGUUUUCCUGCCUGUUGGGUGAAGGUCACAGAUCCACAGCAAGGGCCCUUACCUAAAAACGACGACAGGAGGACCAGGAGCCUGUUGGCAUCUUCAUCUCCGAAGCACAAUGAUGCGCUUGUGAUGUUCUCGCUGAAGUUCCACAAGGUCUUGCACACCAGACAGGCCAGCUGCCAGUCGCCGGGACCAAACUCUCUCAAGCAAUCCACUAACCUGAGCGAGGAAUGUCAAACUGAAGGCGUCAGCAGAUCAGAGUUUGUCUUGACGUUUUCUAUCAUUGAAUGGCACGCUUGUCUUUAUCCACGGUGAGGUUUAGGAGAACCCCACAGGCAGCAAAGCAAAUGUCCUGAUGCUUGGCUUCCAGCAGCGCGAUCAUGAACUUGUGUACUGGGAGAGCAGAGAACACGUGCAGAGCGUCAAAGCCUGCAUCCCAGCUGCAGCUUGUUUUACAAAUGGGGUGGGGUUUGGGACUGAGGGAUGGACAGGGGUGGGGAAGCAGGAAGAUGCGGCUUGCAACACUGGACCCUUGGUUAGUGUGCCGAACCCAUUCCUCCUAAGUUUUAUCCAACUCCCACUGUGGACCCAGUAAUACCCACUGCUCUUGGAGCCUUCCUCCCUUCCACAGCCUCUGGCCCUAUUACGGCUACCACUGACCCAACAGCAGCCCCCUCUCUGGGGGGAGUCCCCAGUGGUGACAUUUGCCUCUCCCCUUGGCAUAUUAUAAAAAGCCCUUUGGAUUAAACCUCAAGGUGACUGGGUAUUGACCCAGGGCCCUCCCGAAGCCA